rnacentral:rRNA from 1 species
UACAGAGGUCUCAAGCGUUGUUCGGAUUCAUUGGGCGUAAAGGGUGCGUAGGCGGCGCGGUAAGUCGGGUGUGAAAGCUCUUGGCUUAACUAAGAGAGGCCAUCCCAUACGGCUAAGCUCGAGCCAUGCAGAGGUCCGCGGAAUUGCCGGUGUAGUGGUGAAAUGCGUAGAGAUCGGCAGGAACACCCAGGGGGAAACCAGCGGACUGGGCAUGAGCUGACGCUCAGGUGCGACAGCGUGGGGAGCGAACCGG